ACUAAUAGUGCAAUAAAUUUUAUUUGGUUGUGAUUAAAUUAUUGUUUCAGAUAGUUUAUAUUUUUAGGUGAAAUUUUAAUAUGAAUUAGUAUUUUAAUAAAUUGAAGUCUAUAAAUUGAUUAUUAAACUAGGAUUAGAUACCCUAUUAUUAUCAACUUAAUUUUUAUACUUUAUAAUUAAUAGUUAAGUUCUUUAAAAUAAAAAAAAUUGGCGGUAUUUUAAUCCUUUUAGAGGAACCUGUUUUUUAAUUGAUAAUCCACGAUUAAAUUUACUUAUUUUAGAGAGUUUAUAUAUCGUUGUUUAAAAUAUGCUGUUAGGCUAUAUUUGAAAAUUAUUUCUAAAAUAUCAAUUCAGAUCAAGGUGUAGCUGAUAAAUAAGUUAAAAUGGGUUACAAUAAUAUUAAUGAGGGAUUUAAGUUUUAAAACUUAAUUAAUUUGGAUUUAAAUGUAAAUAUAAAUAUAUACUUAUAUUACUAUGGCUCUAAAAU
rnacentral:rRNA from 1 species